ACGGCUCAGUAACACGUAGGGACCUGCCCCUAGGUAAGGGAUAGCCCACCGAAAGGUGGGGUAAUACUUUAUAGUCUCUUUUGAGUAAAGGGCGUAACUGCCCGCCAAGGGAUGGACCUGCGAUCUAUCAGAUUGUUGGUGGGGUAACGGCCUACCAAGUCUACGACGGAUAGCUGGCUUUAGAGAGUGGUCAGCCAGAGGGGCACUGAGACACGGGCCCCACUCCUACGGGAGGCAGCAAUCAGGAAUAGUCGGCAAUGGGCGAAAGCCUGACCGUGCGACGUCGCGUGUGGGAAGAAGUUCUAAUCGAGCGUAAACCACUGUGGUAAAGGAAGAAGUCCCGACAUAUGUCGGGGUUGACGGUACUUUACAAGAAAGGGGCCGCUAACUGCGUGCCAGAAGCGUCGGUAAGACGUGGGCCCCAAGCGUUAUCCGGUGUUAUUGGGCGUAAAGAGUCGUGUAGGCGGUCUUGCAAGUUGUCUUUUAAAGCUUCCUGCUCAACGGGAAAACAGGAGAUAAUACUGCGAGACUAGAAUUUGCUUUAGGGAGAUUGGAACUUAAUGAGGAGCAGUGAAAUGCGUUGAUACGUUAAGGAACACCAGUGGCGAAGGCGAAUCUCUGGAAGUUAAUUGACGCUGAGACACGAAAGCUAGGGGAGCGAAGCAGAUUAGAGACCUGCGUAGUCCUAGCCCUAAACUAUGCUUGCUAGCUGCAUUCUCCGACCUUGUGUCGUAGGGUGUGGCGAAGGUAACCCGUUAAGCAAGCCGCCUGGGGAGUACGGUCGCAAGGCUGAAACUCAAAGGAAUUGGCGGGGGAGCAC
rnacentral:rRNA from 1 species